rnacentral:rRNA from 1 species
AUGUCGGUCAAUGGUGUGAAAAUACUUCCUGAUGUCGAAUUCCAAAAACCAGCGAGAGGUUCCCCACUCUUCUUUGAUCCGUCUGAGGGCCGAGUGGUAGCCUCGACCCGAGCGGAAGUGCGAUGUGUCUGGAAACUCAGGAUCGUAAAUGGAUUCGGGUACCAUUUUGGUCGCCUAUUUCAUGAUCUUUUCUACGGGUAG